UACAGAGGUCUCAAGCGUUGUUCGGAUUCAUUGGGCGUAAAGGGUGCGUAGGUGGCGCGCUAAGUCAGGUGUGAAAUUUCGGAGCUUAACUCCGAAACUGCAUUUGAUACUGGCGUGCUUUGAGGACUGGAGAGGAGACUGGAAUUCACGGUGUAGCAGUGAAAUGCGUAGAGAUCGUAAGGAAGACCAGUGGCGAAGGCGGGUCUCUGGACAGUUCCUGACACUGAGGCACGAAGGCCAGGGGGAGCAAAACGGG
rnacentral:rRNA from 1 species